GAAAUGAGCUGAAUGUAUGAAGUCUCUGGGAAGAGUUACUAAUCUGAAGGUGACAAUGGUAAAUGGCUGCUUCUACUAAAGACUAAGAAGAAAAGACGUAAAGAUUUGGAGCUCCAUCUGAAUAAAACAAACCAAAUGUGGUGUUUGGAAGAUAAGCCAGAUCUCACAAGAAAGGCUGUUAGAACUGAUCCCCAGACUGGAACAUGUUGCUGUAGGGUGGGAAAUAUAUGUAUAUGGAUAUAU